GUGUGUGUAUGCCAGUAUGUCUGUGUGUGUGUCAGUAUGUCUGUGUGUAUGCCAGUAUGUCUGUGUGUGUGUGUGUGUGUGUCAGUAUGUCUGUGUGUAUGCCAGUAUGUCUGUGUGUAUGCCAGUAUGUCAGUGUGUGUGUGUGUGUGUGUGUGUGUCAGUAUGUUUGUGUGUAUACCAGUAUGUCUGUGUGUGUGUAUGUAGG